rnacentral:rRNA from 1 species
UGCCCGAAGGGGGUGACGAAGGGACGCCGCGUGGGUGAGGAAGACCUUCGGGUUGUAAAGCCCUGUCAGGAGUUAAGAAAUGUAGACUCGCUAAUCUCGGGUCUAUUUGACAAAGGCUCCAAAGGAACCCCCGGCUAACUCUGUGCCAGCACCCGCGGUAAUACAGAGGUGGCAAGCGUUGUUCGGAAUUAAUGGGCGUAAAGAGCACGUAGGUGGAUUUGUAUGUCAGACGUGAAAGCCUUCUGUCCAACGGAAGACUAGCAUCUGAAACUACAAACCUUGAGUGUAGGAGGGGAGAAUGGAACUUCAGGGGGAGCGGUGAAGUGCGUAGAUAUCAGAAGGAACGCCGGCGGCGAAAGCGAUUCUCUGGCCUAUUACUGACACUCAGUGUGCGAAAGCUAGGGGAGCAAACGGGAUUAGAUACCCCGGUAGUCCUAGCCGUAAACGAUGGGCACUAAGUAGAGGGG